rnacentral:lncRNA from 1 species
CUUGGAGCCUGCUGCUUUGACCCUCAUUUCAUGUCCUGGACCAUCAGCCAUUAGUAGCAAAGUGAAAUAUGGCAGAGCUGAUCUCUGAGUCUUAUUUGCUUUCAGAGAAUGAGAGCGAGGACGAUGUUAUUUGCUGAACUCUUACCACCUGCCAGGUUCGUGACAAUACUAUGAGAUAGAAGUCUGCAGGGUUCUACUGCAGGGUUCCAGCCGUCCUUUCCCUGGAGUGAGACCAGGUUCCGAGGUGAGGUGCUGGUCCCUCCGACUUACCAAGUAUGGUGGUCUGGUUUGCCUUUAUCGCAGAUUUUCUUCACUUUUCCAGUGGGCUUCAAUUUUCAUCUAGGAGCCUCAGAGAGGACUCUUUCUCUUGUUCGCAGGUUUGGGGUGAGGACACCACCGUAUUGCUGUGUGGCUGGGCUCCGCUGUGAAGCACGGUUGAAGGGACGGGCCUACUGGUGGGUCUUCACCACUUUGAAAGGCUUUGCAGGCCUCCAGCCUAACUCCUCAGACUCUGUUGCCAGGUAGAUCUUUCUAUGCUACACACCCAUCAGUUCUAUCACAUCAGCCUUGUUCAGCAGAAGUCUGUGAAAUGCCCUCUGCGGCAAGCUGAACCUCCAGGAUGGCACAGAAUCAGCCCCAGAAUCUGUAAAU